rnacentral:hammerhead_ribozyme from 1 species
GCACUGCUGACAAGUCCCGAACAGGACGAAACAGUUGUCCCGUGC